UACGGAGGGGGCUAGCGUUGUUCGGAAUUACUGGGCGUAAAGCGCACGUAGGCGGCUUUUUAAGUCAGGGGUGAAAUCCCGGGGCUCAACCCCGGAACUGCCCUUGAAACUGGAGAGCUAGAAUCUUGGAGAGGCGAGUGGAAUUCCGAGUGUAGAGGUGAAAUGCGUAGAUAUCUGGAGGAACACCGGUGGCGAAGGCGGCAUCCUGGACCGAUACUGACGCUGAGGAGCGAAAGCCAGGGGAGCAAAGCGGG
rnacentral:rRNA from 1 species